GUCACACACUCGUCUUAUACAUUCGCCAACUUAGCGGCAAACCGAGCGCACAAUUGUGGAAAACAGAACAUUUUGUAGGUGACCUACAAGAAGUGUGCAGAUUCGCAGCUUUCUGCGUAGGACGAGAACGCCCGAUCCAGAGUUGGUGUACAAUUUGUGGCAUCCAAAACGUUACGUGUGCCGAGAACUUUGGCCUUUCGCCGCCAUCAUUUUUUGGCCUGACGUCAGCGGUCCCGUUCACCUGCUUUCCGGCCUUAAUUUGUCUUUUCGCGCUACGUACGACUUGACACACAUCAGUUAAGUUGGUCUAUCCUCACUAGCUGGGUCAGACGUGGUUGGAGAAGCGGAAUUCUAGAGCGGAUCGAAUGAAAGUUAACAGAAAGGAUUUUACACACAGCACUGUUCAAACAAGGAAAGAGUUGGACUAUGUGGGCAGCCUGGGGACCCCUUACUGUUGCUAUACUGCUGGUGAUGUCAGGGUCUGCAGUUGUAGGGGCUCCGACUUGUGGACAACAUGAGUACCUGGAAAACCGCCAGUGUCUUCCCUGCCCUACCUGUUCACCUGGUUAUGGAGUCUCAGGACCGUGUGGUUUUGACCGAGGAGCCCUGACAACCUGUAUCCCAUGCGACCCUAACCCA